UCUACACAAUCCCAGGAAAAUGCUGUCGCUCAAAUUAAAGGAGGAGGAAGGUCCUACCAGCCCAGAUUCAGACUUAAUGUUGCAAGAACUCAUUUAAUGCAGAAAAUGGAUUGUCUUCCAGAUGUAAAACUACAGGGAUGUGUAGGUGUUGAAGAGAAGAUAAAAUCCAGCAUCACUGGAUCAGUCCUACAAGAGGGA
rnacentral:lncRNA from 1 species